rnacentral:tRNA from 1 species
UGCCCAGAUGGCGGAAUUGGUAGACGCACCAGCUUCAGGUGCUGGCGAUCGCAAGGUCGUGGAGGUUCGAGUCCUCUUCUGGGCACCAU